GACGAACGCUGGCGGCGUGCUUAACACAUGCAAGUCGAACGGAAAGGCCCCUUUGGGGGUACUCGAGUGGCGAACGGGUGAGUAACACGUGAGUAACCUGCCCUUGACUUCGGGAUAACUUCAGGAAACUGGGGCUAAUACCGGAUAGGAAUCCUUGCUGCAUGGUGGGGGUUGGAAAGCUUCGGCGGUUUUGGAUGGACUCGCGGCUUAUCAGUUUGUUGGUGGGGGAGUGGCUUACCAAGGCUUUGACGGGUAGCCGGCCUGAGAGGGCGAACGGCCACAAUGGGGCUGGGAUACGGCCCAGACUCCUACGGGAGGCAGCAGUGGGGAAUAUUUCACAAUGGGCGGAAGCCUGAUGCAGCAACGCCGCGGGCGGGAUGACGGCCUUCGGGUUGGAAACCGCUUUCAGCAGGGGCGGAGCUUGUGGUGACGGUACCUGCAGAAGAAGCACCGGCUAACUACGUG
rnacentral:rRNA from 1 species